rnacentral:pre_miRNA from 1 species
AAUAAGUGCAGCCGUGAAUAUCCGUGUCCAACGUUUGACUGUCCGUCUUAUUUGAAAAUUUUGUGAAAAAUUUGAAAAUAUUUAGUAACACAUAAAGUACUAUUCAUGUUUUAUCAUCUAAGAGCAAUAAAAAUACUAACCAUAAAAAAAUUCAAAUAAGAUGAACGGUCAAACGUUGAACGUGAACAGUGCAAAACUGUACUUAUU